GACGAACGCUGGCGGCGUGCCUAAUACAUGCAAGUUGAGCGCUGAAGGUUGGUACUUGUACCGACUGGAUGAGCAGCGAACGGGUGAGUAACGCGUGGGGAAUCUGCCUUUGAGCGGGGGACAACAUUUGGAAACGAAUGCUAAUACCGCAUAAAAACUUUAAACACAAGUUUUAAGUUUGAAAGAUGCAAUUGCAUCACUCAAAGAUGAUCCCGCGUUGUAUUAGCUAGUUGGUGAGGUAAAGGCUCACCAAGGCGAUGAUACAUAGCCGACCUGAGAGGGUGGUCGGCCACAUUGGGACUGAGACACGGCCCAAACUCCUACGGGAGGCAGCAGUAGGGAAUCUUCGGCAAUGGACGAAAGUCUGACCGAGCAACGCCGCGUGAGUGAAGAAGGUUUUCGGAUCGUAAAACUCUGUUGGUAGAGAAGAACGUUGGUGAGAGUGGAAAGCUCAUCAAGUGACGGUAACUACCCAGAAAGGGACGGCUAACUACGUG
rnacentral:rRNA from 1 species